GCCUGGGCAUGGUGGAGCGCGCCUGUAGUCCCAGCUACUCAGGACGCUGAGGUGAGAAGCUUACUUGAGUCCAGGAGUUCUGGGCCGCAGUGCUAUGCCAAUUGGGUGUCUGCACUAAGUUCAGCAUCAACAUGGUGACCUCUGGGAGCGGGGUGCCACCAGGUUGCCUAAGGAGGGGUGAACCGGCCUGGAUCGGAAAAGUCAUUCAGGGGCCCCAGCGAUUUGACCCUAAGCUGAUUUUCCUUUAUUUCAUCUUAUUGCACCCUAGAAUUUAGCAACAUUUUACUAUUCAUCUCU
rnacentral:SRP_RNA from 1 species